UUCUAUCUUUGUAGAACUCCAAAUCUGAUAUUAUAAAAAAUUAUUAUACUAUAAUUUAACAAGUUAACUAAUAAGAGCUGUGAUAUAGGUAGAGUCAUGCCAUUUAUUAAAAAUUGGAGAUUUGUAACAAUGUUACAGAAGAGGGGCUUCUAUAUAGGCAAAGGUUACAGAAUAAGUUUGUUCUCCAGGUUCAAUUGAAGCAGAUAUGCAACAUUGAAAGUGGAUAUUUCUCAUCUACACUUAGCUUUAAUACAUAUGCAAGAAUUUGUAGGCACGUCACUAUAGUAGGUUGUUAAAAGGCAUUGCAAAACAAUAGAUAUAAACCAUGGGCAAGAAAACCAUCUAUAAUGGCCCAAUAGUUUCUCACGUGAAGCUUCAUAUUGCCUAAUUAGGGUGAAAUCCCAAAUUACUAUAAGUAAUGACAGGAGUAGAAUAAAAAAUAUGCACUUGGAUAAAUAAUGAGAAAAUGUAAGCACUAUCUAAUGGGGAAAGAAAUCCUUGUGCACAUAAACCACUAUCCACUUCAAUAUUCAUAAGCAUAUUGAAAGGGUGCCCUUGACCUCGAUGGUUGAUAAUAGUAAUAAGAAGUAAAAGUGGAAUAACAUUGAGACGGAUAACAUAUUGGAUAUUGGAAAGAAAAAUUCCAAGUCUAUACAUAUAGUAAAAUCUGCAUAGAAACAACUCUACACUAACAUACAUAUGUAUCUUGUAAUGCCCUUGUUUAGCCCUACCACAUAGAAUUUUGAGAAAACUUGAAUUCUAAACAAUAAGAAAAUUGUUCAUAGUGUCAAAACAAUUUUGUGAAAAAAAAUUGUGUUGUUUUUAUCCUAGUGAAGUUCUAAAGAGAACAGAUACAGUAAACAUGUGGUUCAAGCUAAACAAUAAUGAUCCACUAUGUUGAGGUCCUAUAAUAAGCGAGACUAUGCAAUCUAGUAAUGAAACAAAUACUAUAAAUUUCAUGAAAUACACCCCUUAUUCUUUAAUAAUUUACUUAAUAUUGGUAAGAAAAAUACUAUCAUAUAGGUGUAAAGUACACAAAAAACAUAAAAUUAUCAACAUGACUUAAUAAAUACACAAAAUUAGAGGUAGAUGUCAACUACAACAUAGAUUGAUUUAUAUAUUAAAGAGUGAAUGGUAUACUUACGAUACAUGGUAAGUCGCUUGUCAUGGUUUCAACAAGUUUUGGUUUUUCUUUUAUGAAUCUUUACACAACCAAAUCAUAAUUUUUGUUGUGUAUUAUUUCAUUCUAUAACAAUUUAGUUGUUUUAUGUCAUCGGAAGUAGCUUGUAUAUGUCCCCUAUUUAUUUGUUUUGAUGAAACUUGUCUUCAUUGAUGUAUAAAUGUGAGUCACUCUGGAUUGCACUCUAUAAGUGUUACAUCACAACCUCACUACAUGUCCACAAGAUUUGCAAGUUUCCUUAUUGUAGUGAGGAGAAAUUGGAAUCUAUUUGUGCUCUUAGGAGUACUAACUAUUACCCUUACACCAUGACUUUUUUGAUGGGAUGAUAAUGCUAAUUUGCUAAUUAAACAAAUCACAUUUUUUAAACUAUUGUGAAAAUUUAGCUAUUUUUUUGUUUCAUAUCUACAGGUUACCCUACCAUAUCUCUAUGUUGCUAAUGUUUAUAGGUAUAUUGUAUGAACUAUCAUUGUGAAGUGCGAACAAUUAGCUAUUUGUUAAAAAAACGUUCCUAAAAUCCUCAAUGUAAACAAUAGAUCUGUGCAAUUCCUAGUGUAAAUGCAAUUGGUUGUGCAAUUCAUAGUGGCAAAUACAAUUCUCAAAUAGUUGUAUAAACUUCAUUUAACAUCAAUUCUGUUACUGGGAACUGAAAGUUACCAAACAUAAUUUAGAUUUAAUUUCUAACUCUAGAUUUUGGCAGGUUAUAAAGCCUCCUUUAAUUUCUGAAUAAUAGUGCAUUAGACCUAAUACAAACCAGGCCCUCUUAGAGGAAAAACACUUUUGGAGGAUGGCAAAUGGCAAAAGGUUCCAAGGCAAAGAAAGAGAACCCAUCUGCUAUACCAUUUUGAAGCUAAAGUUGCAUUGCCUUGUAGAUUCAUUUUAUUAAAAAAAAUAUUACCUUUCAACACUUCCAAAUCCUCAAUGAUAAAUUUAUUUUUUUGUCUGAUAGAUUGUUGAGUUUUUUGUUCAUCCUUUUUCUUUUAAGCAAGGUGCUUCUUUUUAAACUUCUUUAUAUAUAUUUCUAACAUUAUCUCCGAAUAUUCUAAGAUUAAACUCACAAUAAAUUCUACAUAGACUCACUAUAACCCCAUGUUAAUUGAAAUUUUGGAUAUGGAUAUGUGAUUCUUGGAAAUUUGAACAACCAACAACAAAUAAUAAUAAAAUGUCAUGUACACAUUUUGGGUCGAUACUAUUAGAUGCUUCGAACUACAUGCUAUUGUUAGACAAACAAAUGAACAUUUCAUUUCCAUACUCAAUCAUACCAACACUUCUCGCCAAAUUGAUCAAGACAUACCCUACUUGAAUACAACAUGCUACAAGGAACCUUCCAAUUAUCCAAGAUUCUCAUACUCAUUUUAGAGAAAUUCAAUUGUUGAUAAGCACAACAAUGGAUGAUGAUUGGUGUGCUCAUUGAAAGUUGAAUUUCUUUGAAACAACUAUGGGAAUCUUGGAUCAUUGUGAGGAGCCUUGUAGCAUGUUGUGUUCAAGUAGGAUAUUUCUUGAUCAGUUUAAUGAGAAGUACUGGAACGAUUGAAUAUGGAAAUUAAAUGUUCAUUUGUUUAUCUAACAACAUUGUGCAGUUCGAAGCAUCUAACAGUAGUGACCCAAAAUGUGUAUGGCAUUUGCUAAUUAUUUAUUGUUGGUUCUUCAAAUAUCCAAGAAUCACAUAUCCAUUUCCAAAAUUUCAAGUAACAUGGGAUUAUAGUGAGUCUAUCCAGAAUUUAUCGUAAGUAAACCUUGAAAUAUUUGGAGAUAAUCUUAGGAGUAUAGACUAAGAAGAUAGAAAAGAUGCACUGGACUCAAACAAAAAAGGAUGAAUAAAAAAUUUAGCAAUCUAUCUGACAAAAAAUAACAUUAUCAUUGAGACUUUGCAAGCGUUGAAAAGUAAUAUUAGUUUUAAUAAAAUGAAUGUGCAAGACAAUGCAACUUUAAGGUAAGUGCACCAAGAUGGUGAACAAAAAAUCGAACACCCUCCAAAAAAAACCAAAAAUGAACGUAACACAUAUGGGUUAUUUGAAAAAAAAAUAACUCGUACGCAUUAUGGUUAGGGAUAUCUGAACCAUAACGCGUAUGGGGUUUUAUUAUAAAAAAACAUUAUGUAUGCAUUUGUAAUAAGAAUAAUAAUGUGUACGUAGUGUUUUUAGUAAUAAAACACCGUAGGCAUUUCUUUUCAUGAUAAUUUUAUUUUUAUUCACCCAACUGGGUCCAUUCUACCCACGGUCCAGUAAAAAAACCCACGACGACCAAGUUUCUAGUCCAAAAACCUCGAAUGUGAUUCGAGUCCUAUAAGCCAAAAAAAAUGCCAUGUUGUCGGAGAGGUAAGAUUACAGUUUCUUUAUGCAUUUUUUUUAUUUUAUAUCUCGAAUUUCGCUAUAUUUUUUAGUUUUUGAUUAAAUUUAUUUUAUUUUGUAAAUUUGAUAUCAGAUGCUCAAUGAAACAACCCCCCUCAAGGAAACAUUCCCCGUCAACAAAAUAUGCCCCAUAAUCCUCCUAAUCCUCUGAUAACCCCUUCCCAAACCACAUGGGAGGAUUUACUAGGUCAUAUAGCACAAAACAGCAUAAUCAUUUCCAACCUAAUGGCUAGAUUGAAAGCAUCAGAAUACCAACACCAUGUAAACCUUGUCCGAGCCCUAGAAACAAUCGUGGAUAACGUUGACAAAGUCUCAAAACAAGUAACUAAACGAGAUUCAUAUAAAAACUCAUGUCGCACCUUUUAUGCACAAGGUCUCCCAUAUGAUGUUGUAAAGAAUAAAGAGAUAAGCAAAGCACAAAUAUGUGCUCUUUUCGCCGAUCUUCAAACCCAUGAGACCCUACCUCUUGAUUCAAAGAGGUUUCCUAUACAUUGGUGUAAUCACAAUACUAUGAAAACACAAUGUUGGGAUAAGUGGUGGAUGGUCUUUGACCACCAUCCUUGCAAUAACUUUGAGGUGCCUUUAUAUUUUCUAAGGAAACUAUACUGUGAGUUCAUCCUAAAUGAGAUCUCCAAUUAUUUUAAUAUGAGGGAGUUCCAAGGUAGAGGUGGACAGUCUCCCCAAUAUAAGCUAGGGGCUCAACGUGUAUUGAAUGCUCAAAAUUGGGUUCCACAUUCUUUAAAACCCUUGGUGCAUGUGAUGGUCCCUAUAGCCUUGAAGGACUCUAUGGAGAUGGAGACUCUUCAAGCAACUACCUCAUUGGCUAACAACAUUAUACAGUAUAGGAAACAGUUGUCACAUCCUCUUGUCCCAGACGAUGGUGUAGGAGCCCAUGAUGGUGCAAUAGGAGACAAUGGUGUUGCAGCCAUACCACCUACUAAUAGCAUGUCUAGCAGUCACCAGUGCAUCACCUACUAUGAGGUAUGUUACUUGGUAGAUGACAUUGCACAUGCAAAUGGUUUGAUUUACCAUCAGUGCACAUGUUGUGGGGCUAGUUGUGAGGUUGGUGGACCAGAUGAUGUAAUCCUCACAAUUGACCUGAUGCAAUAGGUCUUUACUAGUCAGGUAUGUUGAUUUGAAUUUAUAAUGUUUUAUUUAUUAAAGACUUUAAAUUUUGAAAUGUAAAUAGCUUUUCUAAAUAUAGUUCAAAUUAAACUAAUCCAGACAUUAUGCAUUUCAAGAUGUAGUAAAUUUGGGUAUGUGAUCCACCAUACUUACCACGACUCUUGCACCUAUAUCUUCAUUAGAGGUAAAAAAAAUUACAAUUCAUGUCAAAAUAGAAUAAUGCCUUCAACUCAAAUUAAUCUUUUAUAAUGUAUAUUAACUUUCUAAUCUAUCUUUGUGUCAGGUUUGACAGGUGUUGACAAUGGACCAAUUUUCACAGGUUCAUGAUGCCACUGCUACGGCCAUUUCAUUUGGCCUAGAGAGCUACACGGGUAUGUCACAUGUGGCUAAGAUUUCUCCUUUGCAAAGGCCAUUGUCGAGGACGCCUAAUCGAAAAAAGAAUGCACCUGAUGAUGCAUUGGAAGAAGAGAUGCAUGAGGGAACAUCGAUGCCUAUUUCAUCAAUGAUGACCCCUCCUAGGACAACAAGAGAAUCAUCAGAGCCUUCACCCCCUUCAUGAUAUGAGCAUAACACAGAUCCUUUAUCUCACCGAUUUGGUAGGACUCUUGUUAGUCAAAGGGUUCAAACGAGACCAUCAUUUGAAGAAUGAUUUUCAGCAAAAAAAACCACAACAUGAGGCAUCUACAGAGCCACGCGGUACUUCAAAGAGGCUUGAUUUUGAUGAUCCACCACAGCUAUAUGUUUUUUUAUAGUUAUAUAAUGUUAGUUGUAGUCAUUGUAUAUCGAUAUUGAGAUGGCAUAAAUGAUGUAGUUUUGUAAAACUUGUCUUGAUUUAGCACAUGUCAUUUUUGUACAUUUUACUGAGUUGGCACAUAUGCCAUUUUUGUACAAUUUGUUGAGUUGGCACAUAUGCCACAAUUUUGUAAAACUUUUAUUCUACAUUUGGAUAUAUAUAAAAGAUGAUAUUCGAUCUAA